CACUGAGGUCUGGUGACUCACCCAGGGUCAUGCAGCCUGUGAGUGGCAGAGUGAGCCGGGAACCUGGCUGCUGGCUGAGAAAUUUCAGGGCUUCUUCUUUGAGUGCCCAGCAGGAUUGCAGCACCACAUGGCUCUGGGGCUCUCCCACUGGCCAGUCUGGGCUGAAGGGAAUGAAGUGAAGAGAGGGAGUUUCCCCUAAAGAUCUGACAAAUGCCAAGGACUUUGCCUACGCUGGAUGUGUAGCCGAAGACUGUCCCAGGCUGCUCAGAGGGGCGGAAGCAAACUCGCUGCAUCUCCAGAAGCCCCUCAGAG
rnacentral:lncRNA from 1 species